AGUGAACGCUGGCGGUAGGCCUAACACAUGCAAGUCGAACGGCAGCACAGUAAGAGCUUGCUCUUACGGGUGGCGAGUGGCGGACGGGUGAGGAAUACAUCGGAAUCUACUUUUUCGUGGGGGAUAACGUAGGGAAACUUACGCUAAUACCGCAUACUACCUACGGGUGAAAGCAGGGGAUCUUCGGACCUUGCGCGAUUGAAUGAGCCGAUGUCGGAUUAGCUAGUUGGCGGGGUAAAGGCCCACCAAGGCGACGAUCCGUAGCUUGUCUGAGAGGAUGAUCAGCCACACUGGAACUGAGAAACGGUCCAGACUCCUACGGGAGGCAGAAGUGGGGAAUAUUGGACAAUGGGGGCAAGCCUGAUCCAGCCAUACCGCGUGGGUGAAGAAGGCCUUCGGGUUGUAAAGCCCUUUUGUUGGGAAAGAAAAGCAGCAGGUUAAUACCCCGCUGUUCUGACGGUACCCAAAGAAUAAGCACCGGCUAACUUCGU
rnacentral:rRNA from 1 species